rnacentral:lncRNA from 1 species
GGUAGCCGGCAUUAGACUCUCAGUCCUCUCACCCUCCUUGUCUGAUCCUGAAAGUACCUAAUGACAUGGCCGCCAACAGAGCAGACAGCACACUCCCACAGCCCCGUCGCCAUGGAGCCGAGGAGCAGCACGACAGAUACAGAUAUAGCAGAAUUACAUCUUUCCCGCCAUCUUGGAUGAGCGAGCGCACGGGCACAAGUCUUUUUGUCUGUUUUGCUACUUAAAGGGACAUUUGUUUAAACUAGUGGAUAUAAAAAACAAACAAGAAAACACAAACAUGCAUACAUAACGGCUUUAUUACUUAUCAGGUAAGCAUUUCUAGGAAAAAUAACCGUUUUGAAAAUCGGACCACAGGUAACGCAUAUCUUGAUUUAGGUCAAAACUUAAUAUCUCAUUAAAACGAAAAAAUUAGCAGUUUCACUUGGGCACCCCUUCUAAUAUCUUUAAGUAGGGUAUAAGCUAAUUGUGUGCCAAAUUUCAUGCUUUUAUCACUCUUGUCACGAUCGAGCCUAAAUUGUGCAUUAAGCCACCUGACUAUAUGGGGAUGCUGGUAUGGGUGUAGAAUACACUGCUCCUCUUUGCCAUUGCUUGGCAACUGUGCUUGUCCAUGCAUGUUUUUGCAUCUCCACUGCUCUGCAUGUCUUGUUUGCAUACAUACCCUUGCCCCUUACUGUCUCUCAUUCUCUCAUGAAAGCCUGUGCUUUUCUCUGUGGGUCUGUAGACUGUGUGGUGCUCGGUGAGCUGAGGCGGCGUGUCCAGGAGGAGUGCCUGGCGUGGCGCUGUGGACGAGGAGGAGGAGGAGGAGGCCCCAUCUUCAUCCUGCACUACUUCCUCCCGGGGGCCCUCAUCACCCUUAAGCGCCGGACAGGGGAGGUGAGCCUGAGGUACAGGCAGUGCAAUUGGAGAGCUCCUGUCGUACUUCAUGGCUUGAGCAGGGCGGCUGUCGGGGAGUGGCCUGAUGACGAGGACUGGAGAUGCUGCAGCAGGACUUUGCCACCAGAACAAAGUUGGCUGUCCAGAAAGCGCUGCAAAGAGUUGGAGUCGUUGGAAUUCUUGCCUGUGCUUCUAAACUUUUUGUGA